CCUGCUCUGUUAUUUGAAUGUGAACUACUCGAAUUAUUAUUGCAAACGAAUAAAAUCAAUGUGUUUAAUUAACAUCCAACUUUCUAUACAAUAUAUGUUUGAAAAAUGGCACUCAUGGAAAAAAAUAGAAUUACCUAAUUACAAAACAGAGAAGUACGUAGCAUUUACCCAUAUAUGUCCAAAGUUUAAAAUUAUCAAGUGGACUAUUUAUAUUUUGGCUCCAGUCUUCUUAAAGACAAACAUCUAGGAGUACUUUUAAAAAUGCACUGGCCAAAAUGGGCUUGAUAAAAAAUACAUGGAGUUAUUCCCCAUUGCACAUUUUGUUUAUUCUCUCUCUCUUCUCACUGUGAUCACUUUGUUUUCUCUUUUGUAGAAUAGAAAAGUCCAGCGUACAUGUAGUAGCUAGGGUCGAAUACAGGAAAAGAAAUAAAAAGCCAGUGACCAGAGCGCUAGCUUAGCUCUUUUGCCUAUCCUUUAAUUCCCAGCCACGUCUUCCUUACCUCUUAAACGCUUCUUCCUUGUGUGCAGCAAGAUCCAGCCGCUCUUUUUAUUUCAACAAGUGAGCGGACUAGAAAACAACGUAUAAUGCUUUCCUUUUUGUAGCUGAACAGACACAUCAGGCGAAGCCGACCUACAACAAUGGCCAUUUUCAUCAGAGGAUAAACACAAAAUAGAUGCCAUGCACUUAAGUUUUUUCCGCACACAAAGGAGUAAACAUCAGUUAUUUAAAAAUCAAAAUAACACAAGUACGAAGCAAGUGAUCACACAUUUUUGCACAUGCAACAAAGUGUAGAUGUUCAGUUAUUUGGCUCCAUCCGCAUCAUGCAUCGCUCCUUUCCGUCAGUUAACUCAGUAUCCAUCAACUGUUGUUUUUGCCCGUCAGUUUUAACUCUUGUGUUCUUGGGAGUGAGUGCACACAACACACAGAAGGCCAGCAGCGGCAUGCUCGGGCAAGCCGGCGGCAACGCGCAGGGGAUUCAGAGCUGAGGUGCAUGGCGAGUGUGCUCCAGGCGUGCUGCGGCCAGCUGCAGGGUACAGGUGCGUGGCGACUUAGGUGAACGGCCUGCAGCGGCGUCGGCGAACGGCCGGACACUGUACCAGCAGAUCCCCACCGGGAAUAGGCGACAUGGUGGAAGGGGAGCCUCGCUGAUGGAUUCGGCCAGAGGAGGUCCUGCUUGCGCCGAACGGGAAACGGCGCUAGCGGCGCACGGGGUGUGGAGACGUCAUCAUUGGUUUCUUGUAGCUCGGCAGCGUCGUGCGAUAGAAGCACAUGAGGAGCUAGGGGCAAGUGAAGGUGACGAGCCGGAGGAUACAGGGGAGCUCGCCGGAGGUAGAGAAGGAGAAGAUUAAGGCAUAAGGCGGGAGGAGGCUCACCGGAGGGAAGGUGUGCGGGCUUGACCGGAUCCGCGUCAGCAGCAUGCUGGGGACUGCGUGAGCAGGCGGCCGAAGACUGCAUGCUAGUUGAUGGUGUUUGGUGAUCCCCGGCGAUGACGGUUAGGGCGCAG
rnacentral:lncRNA from 1 species